GGCGACGACGGUGGUACCAGGCCGGCGACACUCUUCUUCCCUUCCGCCGGCGCUAUCUCUUCCUCCAGUCUCCUCUCUGCGCGUGUGAUUUUUUUUUAGUUAUAGGAAAGGAAAGGGA